GGGCUGACCCCUGACCUCACAGUCCUCUUCUGCCCCCUCGCCCUCCAGGCCAGGGGCCGCCUGCGGGGAGAGUGAGCAGGGGCCGACACAUGCUCCACACACACACACACACACACACACACACACACACACACACGUGUGCGUGCGGGACAGGGACAGGGAGCACCUGGACUGUCCCCACUGCCUGACCUCCCCGCCCUCCCAGGCUAACGGCACAGUGGACCCUGCCUUCGUGGACAUUCCCGGGGACGAGGCCUGUGGGCCAGACACUUGCAUCCAGGGCUGGAGAGCCGACAUGCACUUCUCAGCCCCCCAGCAGCUGUGUGGCCUCCCGUGCGGAGCUGAGGAUGUCCCUCAGGCCCAGACUCCCAGGACCUCGAGUCUGCCCCCCACCUCCUAUGAGACCCCAAGCUAUGCCUGAGGACGAGACAGGCUGGGGAUGCCAACACUCCCUCAGCCUCCACCGCCCGCCCCACCCCCCCGUGUGGGGGAGGGAGAGUGGCCCCUGGCCCCCUCUGGAGGCCCUACGCCCCAAGUCCCUGUAAAGGGGCCAGGGCUGGAGGGGUGGGGAGGUGGAGGUGGCAUGUGGGGCUCCAGGUGCCCCCCCGCCCCGGGGGCUGCAGCUCACACUCACCACGCGUCCCCUGGAGGCCUCUGCCCGCCCUUCACCAAAACCGGACAAGAAUUGAAGUGCCUGUAUUUGUAGACGCCGUGACCUUAUGUGUAGGAAACGAUAAAGAAUCCCACGAAAGCCUCAGCUCACAGGCAAGCUCAGCGGCCUGGCGGCUGCAAAGCCAGCCAGUCGGGGCGCCUCUGUCCUCCACAGUGAGCAAUUCCCGGGGCAGCGGAGGAAACUGUCAUUUGCAGAAGCACCAGAGAGGACAAGGUGCUUAGAAAUAAACUUACCCCGGGAGGCGGGGGGCGCGUACACGGAACACUUGGCGCUCGGCUGGCUAGGCGCUCGGCUGGCGGACGUGGAGGACCAUCGCAAGGAAGGAUAAGGCAUCGUGUGCAAGGAUUGGAAGACAGUUUAUCCCCACGUCCAUCAGAAAUCCAGGAACAGAGAAUCCCCUCCUGAGGUUCAGAUGGAAUCGCAAAGGACCUGAAUAGACAAAAUAAUCCCGGAAAAGAACAAAGUUGGGCCCGGCUGGCGUGACUCAGUGGUUGAGCUUCGACCUAUGAAGCAAGAGGUCACAGCUCCAUUCCCAUCUAGGGCACAUGUGGGGGCUGCGGGCUCGAUCCCAGGGUGGGGGGUGUGGGAGGCGGCGGGUCCGUGACUCUCUCAUCAUCAAUGGUUCUCUCUCUCUCCCUCUCCCUUCCUCUCUGACAUCAAUACAAAUAUUUUUAAAAAUGAAAGAACCAAGUUGGACUCACACCUGAGUUCAAAACUCACUACCAAGCUACAGUGAUGGACGGAGGUGGCCCGGCAUGAGGACAGACACGGAGGCACUGGGAGAGGGUGGAGAGUCGAGAAAUAACCCUCAUCUGUAUGAUGCAUUGAUUCCACACGGAGGAAAGGCCGUUCAAUGAAGAAAGGGCGCUUGCUUCAACAAACGGCACAGCCACGGGCAGAAGAAUGACGUUGGGCCCUGAUGCUGGUGUCCAUCGGGAGAUGAGGGAUAGCCCUCGCCCGUGUGGCUCAGUGGGUAGAGCAAUAGCCUGCGGGCUGAAGGGUCCCGGGUUCGAUUCUGG